UACGUAGGGGGCAAGCGUUGUCCGGAUUUACUGGGCGUAAAGAGCGUGUAGGCGGCCGCGCAGGUCCGUUGUGAAAACUGGAGGCUCAACCUCCAGCUGUCGACGGAAACCGUAUGGCUAGAGUCCGGAAGAGGAGAGUGGAAUUCCUGGUGUAGCGGUGAAAUGCGCAGAUAUCAGGAAGAACACCAAUGGCGAAGGCAGCUCUCUGGGACGGUACUGACGCUGAGACGCGAAAGCGUGGGGAGCGAACAGG
rnacentral:rRNA from 1 species